CAAGUAUGCAAUAAUUUUAAGACAUGGUAUAGGUAAUCAGUUAUAUGAAAGUGAAUGUAACAGCCUCUGUCCAUAACACUGAUUUCAAUUAUUUCGAUUUUUUUUUUGGGGGGGGAGGUAACCAUUGCUUUCAUGACUUGCUUGAUACUUAUCUAUUUACUAAUCAAGUAUCGUAAACCGCAGGCAUGAUAGAUAAUGCACCAUUAAGACUAUAAGAUCAGUAGAUUGAAGGUAACUUAAUAUUGAAAAUUUAGAAAUUAUUGUGUGCAUUUUUUAUUUGAUUUUUGGAGAAAAGACCAAAACCUUUCAUAAUUUUGUUUAAACAUCAAACCCUUCAUUCGCUUAUUAUUACCAUUAUGUCUCUCAUUUUUACACGAAUUGCU
rnacentral:lncRNA from 1 species